GACGUAGGGGGCGAGCGUUAUUCGGAAUUAUUGGGCGUAAAGAGCGUGUAGGCGGCCUGAAAGGUCAGCUGUGAAAACUCGAGGCUCAACCUCGAGACGUCGGUUGAAACCAUCUGGCUAGAGUCCGGAAGAGGAGUGUGGAAUUCCCGGUGUAGCGGUGAAAUGCGCAGAUAUCGGGAAGAACACCCGUGGCUAAGGCGGCUCUCUAGUACGGUACUGACGCUGAGACGCGAAAGCGUGGGGAGCGAACAGG
rnacentral:rRNA from 1 species